rnacentral:rRNA from 1 species
CAGUAGCCGCGGGAAUACAGAGGGUGCAAGCGUUAAUCGGAAUUACUGGGCGUAAAGCGCGCGUAGGUGGUUUGUUAAGUUGGAUGUGAAAGCCCCGGGCUCAACCUGGGAACUGCAUCCAAAACUGGCAAGCUAGAGUACGGUAGAGGGUGGUGGAAUUUCCUGUGUAGCGGUGAAAUGCGUAGAUAUAGGAAGGAACACCAGUGGCGAAGGCGACCACCUGGACUGAUACUGACACUGAGGUGCGAAAGCGUGGGGAGCAAACAGGAUUAGAUACCCGUGUAGUCCCUGUCUCUUAUAC